UCUCUGUGCAGAGAAUGGCAGCAUGUUCUUCCCUGGGUCCCAAAUAAAGGGAUCAAGAGGAUUUGCUGAUAACACUUCACUUCCUGUGUGCGUGGGGGGUUCACAAUGAUCCCUAUUAGGUCAGAUCCUCUUCCCCUCCAUCCUCGACACUUUAUCUUCUGCUAGCACAAUCCACAGGACAUUUCAUCUGAGGAUCUCAACACACUUAUUCCCUCAGAGCCCAGGAGGACGAUCAAGGUGGACAAACUCUUAAAUAAGUGUCUCGUAACUUCACCGCCACUGGGAGGAUGCCUGUAGCCCAGGCGCUUUGCGAGGGGCUCCCACCUAGAGGGGAUAGGAGCACCAGGAGCUGAUUCUCACAGUAAAGCCCUGAUUCUCGUUAAUGUGACGUCCCUGAGCCAAGUGACCCGGCGAGAUCUUUCCAAGGGGAAGAUGCUUCUCAUUCCAGAUCCUCGCGACGCUUGUUUCUGGGUCGGUCUGGAAGACUUGUGAUUUUGUUGUUUCCGGUGUCAGGGAAGCGAACAACAAAUCCCAGUCUCCUCACAGCCCCAGGACUGGCCUCCAAGAAUCCAUCCAUGAUACCUUCCCUGGGACCCAGCAGCAUGAGGAGGAGAGGGGGGAAAUAGACCUGUUUCCAAUCAACUCUGCUAUAGACACAACACGUGGUUUCUACGCAGCUCGAGCCCCAGCUAUGUCUCUGCUUACCAGAGACCACCCACCCUGCCCUGUAGCAUUCAGAGACAUCCAGUGGUCAAACAAACAAAAAACAGAGUAAAUAUAUUGCUCCCACUUCAUCCCUAACUCGCUGGCCCCUCCACACGACCCACGUAGAACUCAAUUUAUCUGUCUAAAAAUGAUACAAAGCUAGGCUUGACCCUGCCAGAAUUUGGAUCUAUGCUUACAGACGGCCUAGGGAUUUCAGGAAACCAAGACUAUAACCACACUCAGAUUCUAGACUACUGCAGUUGUACCACGGCAAAACCCUUGCGUAGACACGAUGUACAUCAGUGCAGCUUAGCGUGGUAAACUAGGAAGAGGCCUAGACUGAUGUUGGCAGCUGGACAUGGGAUAAUUAGGACUUUUGGCUUUAACUGGAUAAAUAGCAGAACCAUCUUGUUAAAGAGAUCAGCAGCGAAACACUUAACAGCGCUGACAUGUAAUCAUUAGACUUCAGAAUCAACACUGCAACGGAGAUGCACGGAGGCAGCUCGCACCUCUGUUUCAGGCUGUCUGCAGAUGCACAAAGAUGUGGCUGCAGAGGCUUAAGGCAAUCUUUGGCUCUAUAAAAAAUAGGGACUAUUUUGUUUUCAAGAGCAGUCCACUUCUGGAGCAAACAUCUGAGGCAAGAGAUUCUGCAGCACAUACUUCCCUGCUUCUAAUCAUCCACCUGAAACUAGAUGAAUUUAAGUUCCCUCUAUCCCCCCUUAUCCUCUCAUCCAGUAUAUCUUGCCCUCACUCACCUUCCUCAAAUCCUGCAGGCAUAUGCUCCUUUGCAUCCGCUGGCUCAAGCAGAGAGGACGUAAACCCAGCGCUGAGUGAUCAGAGCUCCCCGCAGUUAAGAGGCCUGUCUUGCCUCAGGAAGUCUGCCCCAUUCCUAGGCUAGAUCGCUGGCAGAGCAGAAAAUCCCUCCAAGGACUGCGCAGGCAGCCUUCCGAGCCAACACAGAGCUGCUAAGGGGGCUGACCAAGAGUAUUACGAGAACUCUCCUCUCCUCACCUUCCUGGGCAGUAAUUUCACCACCUUGCCUUUAUAUAGCACUAGUAUCCUUAGAUCUCCAAGCUCCUUUACAUGUGGGGAAACCAAGGCAGAGAGGGGUGAAGUGGUUUGCCCAGUCACUCAGCAGACCUUUGGCAGAGUCAGGAUUAGAACCUAAGCCUCCUAAAUCCCAGUCCACACUGCCUCCAUAGGGCACAUGCUGUGGCAAAAGAGGCAGCAUCUCUGUCCCCAUCACACACGCAACCUCCUUUUUCCUCUCUCUCCUUCUCUCCCAGCAGCCACUGCCCCAGCUACACUCUGACAAAAGGAUGUAGGAUACCCUCAUCGGACUAACGGAGAUGGACUCGCCUGGAAUGGUUUAAUAGAAGCGAAGGAAUCAGGGAAAGCUCAGGAUCACUCACCAUCCCACACCCCCCAUAAGAGAGCUGACUUGAUACAUGUCCACCACCAAAUAUGAAGCCGAGAGCAAGUGCCUGUGCUAACUUCCAAACAGCUGAAGGCCAAGUCAACAGUCUGUGAUCAAUCACAACACAGCCCAGUGGGUUGCUUUGCGAUCCUGAGGUUAAUCAUCUGUGUAUGGAACUGACCAACCACCUGUACUCUUCAGGAUCGCCCCAGCCCCGGAGGAAGCUAGACAAGAGAGGCACUCGUUGGGUGGUGGUUCAGCUUCCUACCAGGAGUUCUGACCCACAGCCUAUUGAAGUCAGUGGAAAGAGUGCCGCUGGCCUUUGGUGAGCUUUGGAUCAGGUCAAUGGAGAGAAGUGGUCAAAUGAAACAUGAGGUAACCCUGCUAGAGAGGAGAUGCUAACAAGUCGUACACACUCUCAGAGCUCUAAGUACAUGGGAGGUUUCUAACAAGUCACCCCUAGCAUCUGACAUUAGUCAAGUUGCCAGCAUGGGUUUCCUGGUGCAUCUCAGCCAGCAUCAAAAAGCUUCAUGCCACAACUAGAGCAAGGGUGCCCACAAAGACAGGCCAAUGGUCUGCACCAUCUGCAGGAUAAGGGCAGGGGGAAAAAAUCUGAUCAACCGCAGGUCACUCAAGGGCCACAGGGUCCCAAAGGGUAAAUGCAGCCAUCCAGGAAAAUACGUGGCGCAAGGGGAGACAGAUGGUUGAGUUCAUUUCUUUUCAGUAAGAGUGGUAUGCAAAUUUAGAUGCAAAUGACGUAGCUGUAUUGGCUCCUGG